AGGACUUCCCACUACAGUCAUGCCCUGAAUUUGAACUACUACCUACUGAACUAUGAACAAAUAAAUUUCUGUUCUUUAAAGCCAUCCAGUUGUGUUAUUUUUUGUUAUGGAGGGACUAGGUAACUAACACACAUAACCGUGCUUAUAAGUUCAGCCCAGUGCAGAAUAAUUUUCUUCCCUCCUUGGUCUAGCCCACCCGAACCUGCUCUUUCCCUAUCAGUGUCCUUUGCUUUCACCUAAGAGUUAUGACAGAGUCAGCUCGAUGGUGAUGCAUUGAAAUUUCAAUUUAUUUUAUAUUUAUGAUUAUUAUUAAUUCCAGUAUUUUCUACAGUUUUCAAUGGAGACAGUCUUAUAAUCUAUGAAUAGCAUUUAUACUUUUUGUUUUUUUGUACUAGCUUACACUUCCAGUGUUAAAUGUUUAAUAAAAGUAAUGAUAGAAGCACCCUUAUUUUAUUGUUUAUUAAUUUUAAAGAGAAUGUCCCACACGUCACCAUGAACUAUCAUGCUAGUUGUAGUUUUCCACGUUCGGGAACUCCUUUUCUGUUCCAUGUUUGCUCCUAGCCCUUAUCUCUCCGUGUGAUUGGAUUUUAUCAACCUGCUUUGCCCCCAUCUCUUGAGGUGAGGAUAUGUCUUCUCUUCUUUCACCUAUGCAUGUGGUGAAUGAAAUUACUAAAUCUUUAAUGUUCACUCAAAUUUGUAUGCCUACAAUCAACCGCCUUGAUCAUGGCAUGUUACGUGGUUUAUACUUUGCUGGAUUUCCUUUGCUUGGCGUCUUACGUAGGGUUUUGCAUCUCAGUUACUGAGUGUGCUUGUCCUCUAACUCUUCUUCUACUAUCCUUCUCUAGUUUGUUAUCAAUUUUAAACUAGCCUUAAGGAUCAAGUUAGGGGAAUAUCUCAUGAUUUUCUAAUCUCUGUUGACUACGUACAAGAUUAAAAUGACUGUUUCUUGCAUGUUUGCUGGAACCUGACUGGAAACGAUCUAGGUCUGCCGUUUUCUUUGUAGGGAGAUGUUGAACUACUGACCCACUUUAUUUAGUGGUUAAAGGCAUCUUCUGGUGCUAAUUUACUUAGAAAAAAUUCUGAUGCAUGUUCUAGGGUGCUCGAAUCUCAUCUUUAAAUAUUGAUUAUCAGGGCUUGUAGCCUCAUGCAAGCCAAUUCAUCAAUCCCAGAUUUCCCCAAAGUCAGGCUCUGCAACUCUUCCCGGUACCAAAUUCCCUCAUUUAAGACUUAUUUGCAAAGAAAGAGACAACAGUAUGCUAUCUACGCAGUUGUGUAUCCGCAGCCUUCUUGAGUCCAUAUUGUGAGGAUACAGUCUUCUAAUACUUUUUUUGUAAUUGUUCUUUUUCUUAUUUUUUUUUUUCCUUUUUUCACUGCCAAUACACCCCCUCCCCCAAUCUAGUAGUUUUAAAGUUGUGCGUUUCAGGUUCAAGUCUGUAAUCCAGCUGGGCUUCUGUUUGUGCUGCAUGUGUGCAUCAAAAGAACGUGCUUCUAGAAGUAGAAAGCAGGCAGUGAGACUGUUGGGUGGUUGGCGGGGUAGGGGGAGGGGAGCUGCUGCUCAGAGAGGGCGCCCGAGGGAGGCACGAGAUGCCGGGCUGCCCACCGCAAGCCCGCAGACUCCAAGGAGGUGGAACCUGCGUGCGCCAUGAGCCUUUUGAGACAGGCCCAAGCCCGCCCAGCCGGGUGCUUGCAAGUUCCACCAGGACUAGGGGAAGCCUAAGGCCAAGGAGGGCAAGGUCUAGGGUCUGGACCUGAGAACUGGUUCUGCCACUUGUGAUCGCAGAGCUUAUGCUGGAAAGGAGGGCAGGAAGCAUAUCACAAUGUGUGUCCGGAGGAUGACCCAGAAGGGCGGGAGUUGUGGUCACCCAGGGACUCUGGGUCUGCAUAUGGAGGCCCCCAGGGUGCAAUUCCAGGAGCAGAAGGCAAAGCCACAGAGGCCAAAGUGCACCUCGCCAAUGCUUCCCAGGGGCAUUGCCCCAAAUAUGGGGAGCAGUCCCUACUCUGGGCUAGGGACUUUGUUUCCUCCAUUCUCAUCACUGACUGUGAGCAGACUCUAGUCUAUGCAGACUAAUGAGGAGUUAUCAAAAUGAGCUCCAAACUCCGGAUUUGAGUUAAGGAUCAUAAACUAACAUAGAGAAAUACGACUUUAGCAAUAAGUGACUGUUUGAAGCCCAAGUUGCCUUAAAACACAGAAUUUCAGUCUUUCAGCUCCUCUGCUAACGUAAUAACUAAGAACAGAAUCUCACUGGAGCUCAAAGAUGUGGGGCACUGGGAAUACUCCUGGGUCUGUCUGCUCACGGCUGAUUGCCUGAUUCCCAGUUUUAUUAUACAGCUUAAAUACAGACCAGAAGAGGAGUUUGGGGCUUGACAUCUGACAUCUUAACACCAGUUCCUGUUUCUUGAGGAAGGAAGAGGUAAAAUAAAUCAGCGUUUACUGUGUCCUUCUCCAUCCCCGGAAGUCCUUGUGAAGACCCUCUCAGAAUGACUAGACCUCCUGCAGAAUGACUAUAUUGUGCCUCCCUUGGGCACCCCUGUCUGCGCAGCACCCUCCGCCCCCAACUGCCCAACCGCCUCUCUCCUGGCAUUCUGCUUCUAGAAGUAUGUUCUUUUGAUGCAGAGAUGCAACACACACAGAAAUCCCAGCUGGAUUACAGACUUGAACCCGAAGACCUUAUGCAGAAUGACUAUUUAUGAACCACUAAACUCAGUACUAAAGCAGCUUCAACUUGAACGUGAAUAUGAGCAACUGAUCGUCUGUUCUGCAGUCAGCCCCUGGCCUGAUUCUGACUCAUGAUAUUGACCUUCUCCAUCAUCACCUUCCACAAAUUUGAUUCCUGUCUAUUCUGCCUGGAAUGGUUCAUAAGUAUAGUCACCGUUUAUGUUCCUGAUGAAAGGUAUGUGCAAUGAAUAAGUCACUGGUCUUGCCAAAUUCUAUCAUGUAAGCUUCAUUGUCAUUUCUAUCAUCAAUACCUUAUUUUCCAACUGCUGAUUUGUCUGCUUUGUUUUCAACUUCGCAUUCUAAAUGAUUGAUCAAUGCAUCACGUUUGAUCAGUUUCAAACUGUAUAACUUGGUAAAAACCUUCAACUUGUUCAUCUUUCACAUUCAUGAUUUGUGUGUAAAUUUGAAUAAUAGUCUUAUUAACUGGUCGUCCUGGUAGGCCUGUGGAUAUUAUCCUAUUGCUUGUAGUGUUGUACUUCAGAAAAGAUCUUGAUAUGUUCUUUUUAUCGAUGAAUAUGAUGCCGUUCUCUUUAGUAUCUCAAUCCUGGCAUAGUAGAACAUAUCAUUGUCUAGUUUAAAAUGUCCAAAACCAAGCUAUUUCAGCUCACUAAUGCCUUGGAUUACUGACCUUUAUGCAUUCCAUUUCAUUUUUGAUGACUUCCAAUUUCCCUAGAUUCAUACUUCCUUCAUUCCACAUUCUGAUUAUUAAAGGAUAUUUGCAUCAGUUUCUUCUCAUUAUGAGUUAUGCCCCAUCAGGAAAUGUCAUUAAAGUGGGAUCUACUUUGAGGAGGUAGCUCUUCCCCACUCGUAUUUUGAGUGCCUUCCAACCUAAGGGGUUAUCCUCUGUCAUUCAAUCAGACAGUGUUCCAGUGCUAUUUGUAAGAUUUCACUGGCCAGUUUUUUUUAGAAAUAGAUCACUAGGUCCUUUUUCCUAGUCUGUCUAAAUCCAGAGCUCCACUCAAAGCUGUCUACCAUGGGUGAACCUGGUGGUAUUUGAAAUACCGGUGGCAUAGCUUCUAACAUCACAGCAACAUGCAAGCCACCACACUACAACAAACUGACAGAAGAGUGGUGGGAGUUAAAAAUGAGAAGAACCAAAAAGAGUGCUUCUUCCAUGUCUGCUGAUUUAGAGGAACCAUGAAAAAUUGUCAAGUGAAGAGUGAUUCAGAGAAAAACAUGGGUAGAGUGUGACCUAAUUUCCAUAAAAACAAACAAAUGAAUGUCCUUACGUGUGUCCCGGCAAAAAGCAGUGUGUAAAAGGGUACAUGUGUAUCUUUGGACACUGGACACUUCAGGGGAGCUGGUACAAUAUACUUAUGUGGGGAUGGCUCUUAUUAUAACUUCUGUAUACAAAUCUCUAUUGUUAAAUGUGUUAUAAGAAUGUAAAACCUUUUAAAGUUAAUAACAUCAUACGUGUAUGUGUGUGUAUUUGAAACUUUUUUUCUGUUUUGACUAUUUUAUAUAUGUGUUUUUUAGUUAUCUAGUGUGGCUAUAGCAGAGAUACCACAAGUGGAUGGCUUUAACAAACAGAAGCUUAUUCUCUCACAGUUUAAGAAGCAAGAAGUUUGAAGUCAGGGCACCAGCUCUAGGAGAAAGCUUUCUCUGUUUGUGGCUCUGGGGGAAGGCCCUUGUCAUCUAUCUUCCCCUGGCCUAGGAAAUUCUCAGCGUGUGGACACUGGGUCAAAAAGACGUGCUCCACUCCAGGCACUUCUUCCUUGGUGGUAUGAGGUCCCUCUCAUUUCUGCUCACUUUUCUCUUUGUAUGUCAAAAGAGACUGACUCAAGACUCACCCUAAUCCUGUAGAUUGUGUCCUCCCUCAUUAACCUAACUGCCUCUAAUCCUGCCUCAUUAACAUCACAGAGGUUGGAAUUUACAACACAUAAGUAAUCACAUCAGAUCACAAAAUGCAGGACAACCACACAAUACUGGGAAUCAGGGUCUGGCCAGGUUGACACAUAUUUUGGGGGACACUAUUCAAUCCAUAACAAUAGAGAAAACACUGUCUUCAAUGCCAGAUUCAGAGACUUUUAUCCAUCUGUGAAGGGCAAACACAGAAAUUGAACAAAAUUCAGACCAGCGAAUUAUUGCUUGCUCUUGUAACUAAUGACUUCUUCUGGUCUCUAUGCCUGGAAAUGGCCAAAAAGAAUUCUGUGAGGAUUAAUUCAGUUAUUGCUCAAACAUCUACUGCAUUUACAUGUCUACAGAUAAGGAAGAAUGCUGGACACCAUGUGUGAUUCAUUAAGUAACACGGGGACCAUUAGACUAUUGUUCUCCUUCUCUGAUAUGCCACUAUCACCUUCUCCCCUUGUUGCUCUCCUGAAAAACCCACGCUUGUAUAUUCUAGGCUUUUAUCCAGGAUUGAAUUUGCAAGAAGUUAAAGAUAUAUCUUUGAAAGAUAAAGAAGACUUUGGCCACAUUGUCUUUAGACAGUUGAACUUCCCAGCCAACCUCUGUGCAGGAUGGGAAUUCACAAUCCCUCCUACUCAGUACCUCUGAGCAGGACGGGAUUUCUGUUUCAUUGUCAGGAGAAGGCGGAAUUCAGCCUUCUUCAGAAAACUUACUUUCCUUUGCCUCAAACUGUCCCUCUCAGGAUCUGUCACGGUCACUCUGAGAAAUUCACAUGGGCAGCCUGUAUGGAAGUGCCCAUCCUAGAGGCCCUGCCCUCCCUUCCUUGCUCCACAGGGCUUCCUCUGACACUUGGGGUCACAUCUCCCAGGGAGUACACACCUCUGGCACUUCCAGGGAUUCCCAGGCCCUGGGAUACUGUGGAUUGGACUUGGAACUCAAUCUGUUUCUUCCCAUCCUCACCUUUGAUUAUCUGUGUUCUGUCUUCACCAGAUUUAGGAGGCCUUGUCUUCUCUUUGCUCGUUUCAUCUCAGUCAGGCUUUUCCAUUCCAACUCUCUGAUCUCAGAACAGAUCAGGUUAGACCACAGAGAAGACAAAGACCAAGCAAACAUCACUGAUCUGUGCAGAAGCUGCUGGGAAGGGAUUCGAUUCUCAUUGGUUUAGGGUUUUAUGCCCACUGCUCACUGGCAGGCAGGUUCCCCCCAGAGUCUGGCUUCUGUCUGGUACCUUGUACUACAAAGAACUCAGUGACCAGCCCACCUUCACAAUCACACCUCCCUUAGAGCUAUCUGUCCAGAGGCUCUUUCUCAGACUUCCAUGUCCCACUGAAAUCCCUUUUCUCUUUCCUUACAAACAUUAUGUUCGUUCUCAGGGCCCUGAGACCUCAUCUGCAGAUGAGUCUUGUCCUCUUCUCUCCUUGGCAGGGGGAGCUUUUGAGUGGACCUCAUGUCUUCGGACAGCUAUCCUGGGCCUUCUUCCACCUUGGUGCUCUAGGGCUGGAUCUCUCCAUGUAAUAGAGGGAGCGUGGAAGGGGCACAAGGCUAAAAGGAUGGAUCUUCCAGGAGAGGUGGGUUUAAGAAGCCUGAAUGAAAUUCUUCCCUGAAGGGUGCAUAUUUUCAGUCCAGACAUCCUCCUUCUCUCAGCCUAAGAGGCCUAGCACGUCUUCAGAUGCUUCUCCUUUGACCUUCAGGCCAUGCCUGCACCCUCUGCAGCCCGGUCUCCCACAUGUGUAGCAGCACCAGUAGGUGUGGCACUCUCUUCAGCCCUUGUCUCCUCCUCCAGAUGCUCCUGGAGGUGCCUGGCUCUUCUUGCCAGGACACCAGGAUGCUGACCAGGGACUCAGUGUUGGUUAAAGGAUGUCGGCCAGUGACCACGUGUCCUCAUUUCCUUUGAAG